rnacentral:rRNA from 1 species
UACGGGGGGAGCAAGCGUUGUUCGGAUUUACUGGGCGUAAAGGGCGCGUAGGCGGCCACCGCAAGUCGACUGUGAAAUCUCCGGGCUUAACCCGGAAAGGUCAGCCGAUACUGCGGGGCUAGAGUGCAGAAGGGGCAACUGGAAUUCUCGGUGUAGCGGUGAAAUGCGUAGAUAUCGAGAGGAACACCUGCGGCGAAGGCGGGUUGCUGGGCUGACACUGACGCUGAUGCGCGAAAGCUAGGGGAGUGAACGGG